rnacentral:rRNA from 1 species
AGCGAACGCUGGCGGCAGGCCUAACACAUGCAAGUCGAACGGACCCUUCGGGGUUAGUGGCGGACGGGUGAGUAACACGUGGGAACGUGCCUUUAGGUUCGGAAUAGCUCCUGGAAACGGGUGGUAAUGCCGAAUGUGCCCUUCGGGGGAAAGAUUUAUCGCCUUUAGAGCGGCCCGCGUCUGAUUAGCUAGUUGGUGGGGUAAUGGCCCACCAAGGCUACGAUCAGUAGCUGGUCUGAGAGGAUGACCAGCCACAUUGGGACUGAGACACGGCCCAAACUCCUACGGGAGGCAGCAGUGGGGAAUCUUGCGCAAUGGGCGAAAGCCUGACGCAGCCAUGCCGCGUGUAUGAUGAAGGUCUUAGGAUUGUAAAAUACUUUCACCGGUGAAGAUAAUGACUGUAGCCGGAGAAGAAGCCCCGGCUAACUUCGUGCCAGCAGCCGCCGUAAAAC